AGAACCCUGCCCUGGGCCUUGCCUAGUCUGCCUCACUCUGCCAUGGGCUGCAGGCUCCUCUGCUGUGUGGCCCUCUGCCUCCUCCAAGCAGGUUCCUUGGACACAGCUGUUUCCCAGACUCCAAAAUACCUGGUCACACAGAUGGGAAAUGACAAGUCCCUUAAAUGUGAACAAAAUUUGGGCCAUGAUACUAUGUAUUGGUAUAAGCAGGACUCUAAGAAAUUUCUGAAGAUAUUGUUUAGCUACAAUAAUAAGGAGCUCAUUAUAAAUGAAACCGUUCCAAAUCGCUUCUCACCUGAGUCUCCAGACAAAGCUCAUUUAAACCUUCACGUCAAGUCCCUGGAGCUUGGUGACUCUGCUGUGUAUUUCUGUGCCAGCAUCUAA